GAUGAACGCUGACAGAAUGCUUAACACAUGCAAGUCAACUUGAACUUCGGUUUGGGUGGCGGACGGGUGAGUAACGCGUAAAGAACUUGCCUCACAGAUAGGGACAACAUUUGGAAACGAAUGCUAAUACCUGAUAUUAUGAUUUUAGGGCAUCCUAGGAUUAUGAAAGCUAUAUGCGCUGUGAGAGAGCUUUGCGUCCCAUUAGCUAGUUGGAGAGGUAACGGCUCACCAAGGCGAUGAUGGGUAGCCGGCCUGAGAGGGUGAUCGGCCACAAGGGGACUGAGACACGGCCCUUACUCCUACGGGAGGCAGCAGUGGGGAAUAUGGGACAAUGGACCAAGAGUCUGAUCCAGCAAUUCUGUGUGCACGAUGAAGUUUUUCGGAAUGUAAAGUGCUUUCAGUUGGGAAGAAAAAAAUGACGGUACCAACAGAAGAAGUGACGGCUAAAUACGUG
rnacentral:rRNA from 1 species